GAUUUGGUUGGGAUUUAGUUUAGGAUUCAGGGUUUGUUUUAGGUUUAGGAUUUGAUUUAGGAUUAAGGUUUGAUUAGGAUUUGAUUAAGAUUUGAUUUAGGAUUUGUUUAGAAUUUGAUUUAGGAUUUAGGGCUUGGUUUAGAGUUUGGCUAGGAUUUUAUUUAGGAUUUAGGAUUUGAUUAGGAUUUGAUUAGGAUUUGAUUUAGGAUUUAGGAUUUGAUUAAGAUUUGGUUUAAGAUUUAAGAUUUGGUUAGGAUUUGAUUUAGGAUUUAGGGUUUUGUUUAGGAUUUGGUUGGGAUUUGGUAGGAAUUUGGUUUAAAAUUUGUUUAGGAUUUGGUUUAGGGUUUAGAAUUUAGGAUUUUAUUAGGAUUUAAGAUUUAAUUAGUUUUGGCCUAAAAUUUUAAUGAAGUUCAAUAGGAUUUUAACUGGAAUUAAAUUAAGAUUGAAUUGAGAUGUAUUUGAAAGAUAUUUAUGAUCAUUCUAAUAUUUCUUUAAGAUUUCUUAUUGUUUCUUUGAAAUUUCUUCGAGGUUUCUUUGAAUUUGAUUAAAGCUUGUUUAGCAUUGUUAGUAUUCUAUUAG
rnacentral:lncRNA from 1 species